UCACAUUCCAGCAAUCACUGGAUCAUAGAGAUGUUCCAAACUGACCUACUGUUCUUUGCAUUCAUGGUGUCACCAUUGAAACACACUAAGUCUCGACAGAGGACAAAAGCCUUACCUGGACCUUCCUGGAAAAAGGGACAAUCCAGUUACACCGGCCCAUCCAUCCCUGAGUUUCUAUAAUGGACGGUGGGUUCCCAGGACAGAGGGAUGAAGGACAUAGAAACAGUUCAGUUCCCAGCUCUUACUUCAUAGCUGCCAGUCCAUUAACUCCAACGCCAGUAACUGCCAGUGGAAGCCAGUGCUUCCAUCCUCCGUG
rnacentral:lncRNA from 1 species